rnacentral:rRNA from 1 species
GGAGGCUAACCGGGGGAACUGAAACAUCUCAGUACCCCGAGGAAAAGAAAUCAACCGAGAUUCCCCCAGUAGCGGCGAGCGGACGGGGAGCAGCCCAGAGUCAGCAUCAAUAUUUACCGCAGGAGAAGGGUCUGGAAAGGCCGGCAAUAAAGGGUGAUAGCCCCGUAUCUGAAGCGGUAAGUGUUGUGAACUCGAAGAGUAGGGCGGGACACGUGUUAUCCUGUCUGAAUAUGGGGGGACCAUCCUCCAAGGCUAAAUACUCCUGACUGACCGAUAGUGAACCAGUACCGUGAGGGAAAGGCGAAAAGAACCCCGGCGAGGGGAGUGAAAUAGAACCUGAAACCGUGUACGUACAAGCAGUGGGAGCUCCCGAAAGGGAGUGACUGCGUACCUUUUGUAUAAUGGGUCAGCGACUUAUAUUCUGUAGCAAGGUUAACCGCAUAGGGGAGCCGUAGGGAAACCGAGUCUUAACUGGGCGUUAAGUUGUAGGGUAUAGACCCGGAACCCGAUGAUCUAGCCAUGGGUAGGUUGAAG